rnacentral:lncRNA from 1 species
AGCUUACUAAAAGCAUCUCUCUGCAGCCUUGCCUAUGUCUUCACUUAGCCCAUUUUACUUUUCACUGCAGCCUCUCUGAGAUGGGAUAGGUGCUGCUGUGGUUUAAAGGCAAAAUAUAUCUUCAAGAAAAAAGACUCUAAAAUUCAUCCAUCCUAUUGAAGUUAAUUGUCUAGGAAAGGCAUUAACACAGAAAACCUCUUAGAGUCAGCUCUGCAUGUUUUAUUUCCUUUGGAUUUCCAAGUGAAAAUAAUUACAGGAAAGCCUAUAGUUAUGACUGAUUAGAAUACUGUGAUUUUUUUUCCUAUCCCUUAAUUUUAAAGAAUUCAAUAGUGUGAACUUUACUUUACAUAGUUAUAUGGGAAUUUUGCAAUGUCAGUUUUAAAAUUUGAACUGGAUAAUUUUUCUCCUGAAGGCUUCAGACAUGAGCACGCUUCCAACUCAUGUUUUGCUUUACCCUGUUUGACUGAACUCUCUGGUGAUUCUAGUCAACUGGAACUUCAGCACUCCAGUUCUGUCCCGACUGAUGACCCUUCUUGCUGUGUCCUCACAUGAUGGAAGAAGUGAGAAGUCUUUCUUGAAUCUCAUCUAUAAAAGCAAUUAGUCUAUUCGUGAGAUCUCUGCCCCCAUGACCUAAUCACAUGCCAAAGCCCCCACCUCCAGACACUAUCACCUCGGGGGUUAGGAUUUCAAUAUAAGAAUUGGGAGUGGGCCGGGCACUGUGGCUCACACCUGUAAUCCCAGCACUUUGGGAGGCCUAGGCGGGAGGAUCACGAGGUCAGGAGAUCGAGACCAUCCUGGCUAACACUGUGACACCCCAUCUCUACC